rnacentral:lncRNA from 12 species
AAAAGAAAAGAAAAGAAAAGAAAAGAAAAGAAAAGAAAAGAAAAGAAAAGAAAAGAAAAGAAAAGAAAAGAAAAGAAAAGAAAAGAAAAGAAAAGAGCUCAGUUCUGCUUUCUUGGGCCCACUGGAGGCUUUGGAAAUUAUCCUGGAGCAGAUCCUGAAUGGGAGUUACUUCUGACACUCAGCCAGCUGCCUCACCAGCACUGCCAGCAUUCCAGUGCCACCAGAACCACCAGCAUCCCUCUGCUGCUGGAGGGACAAUGACCCCUCAAGGAAGGGAAACGAGGAAUGGUAGAAAACUGUAGGGACAGGGAAGGCAUUCAGAGAAUGAGACAUUCUGCAGGGAAGGAAUGUUUCUCAUCUGGAGGAAAUGAAGAGCUAUUUCGAAAAUGUUUCAUUUGGAGGUUCUGACAGAAAUCACUUCCUCUGUAGCAAAAAAACAAAAACAAAAACCAAAAAAAGAAAAACCAAGAAAAAAAAACCAAAAAAAAAACCCCAAAAAAACCCCAAGACAAAUACCUCUGAGGAAGUGGACCUCUGACGUAGCCGAAGAUUAAAUUUCCAACUCCACUGAGUCUGGGGGUGUAACAGCCUGGUAGAGGACAGGGAGAGCCAGCAGGGCAGGACUGGGGAGCUCCUGGUGAUCUGGGCAUAUUCUCCUUCAUGUUACUGACCUGGAAGUAGCUGCUUUAGGACACAGAUCUAAAGGACAAAGAAGUAGCAGGACAGACCACUGAUCUGGACUGACCCCCAUUGCCUGCUGCUGCCCCACACUGAACAGGUCAGUGGAAUAUUUUCCUUCCUCCCUCCCCCACCUUCCUCUCCUCCAGCAGCUGCUCUUCCUGCCACCCUUUUCCAAUGACCACAGUGCCCUCCCCGGGUCCCUCCUCCUCUAUCCUGUGCUUUCCUUCUGCAUCCCCUGCCGAACAUCCCAACCCUCCCAUUUCUCUCUCACAACACACAAUUUCCACCACCCUCCUCCCCUACACAUCUCACUCCUCCCCACUGAAUCCUUCCCACUGCAGGGAGCUGCUGAGAAGUCACAUGGUCGAUUCUCCAACCACUGACUCCCAUCCACUCUGACCACAGCCUGGGGCCACAUCCCACUGCCUGCCCAGUCUCCAUCCAUGGAGGCGACCGUGGUAGCUGAGACUGACAGCACUGUGGAUUUAAUUAGCAUAUGCAGUUUGAUAACUAAGAUGCCUUGGAAAGGACAAACAGAGCUUUGAAGAUUACAAGAAGAUCAGAUCAACAUCUGGCGACAGGAAAGUAGAUUGAAUUAUGUAGAAAUGGAAAGUUUGUCUGUGUGAUG